AUGCUGCACUCUAUAUUUAAAAAUAACUGUUUGCUUUUGUCCCCGUGGAUUUCCUGCAGAUUUAACAACUAGAGACAAUUUCUGCAUGUUACUCACCUCGUGCAGGUUAUCUAUGAGCUUCCACUGCUUCUUAAUCAUCCAUUCAGCCUGAGAACACCAUUAACUUCUUUGCUUCAUAUUUUUGGCAACGUGACGCCUAUUGAUGACAUCAGAGCUAAGAAACAUGCAUCUCCAGGAAGUACUGAGCUUGAUAAUUGCCUAGAAGUAACUCUAAUAGUUUAAAUUAAUGCUAUACCUAAUAUAUCUUAACUUUUAACUUGGUUUGGAGGCUACAUGUCAGAUUUUUAAAUAUCUCAUUGUGGAAUACAUAAGUCACGAUCUGAGGCAAGAAAGCUUGUAGGGAAAAAAAAAAGGAGGAAAAAAAAGAAAGAACAUAAGGUGAAGAUAUAACUGUCCUGGAAUGUCAGACGGGUACAGGAAAGGAUUAAGCAGCUGCAUACCAUCUGUAUUUUCAAAGAGGAAAGAGGGCCAAACAGAUUGCCUAGCUGUGCACUAAAGGAGUCUACCAGUAAUGGCAGGCAGAAGAAUCAUCAACUCUCAGGAGCAUGGUACAGUGUCCAGUAGUGGGGUCAAGUAUGCAGCAACAUGGAUGUUUGUUCACAACUGAUGUCAGUGGACUUCAAGGCCCAGUGGAUUUGCAGGACAUAAUACAAUUUCUGUCUUCCAGAGUAUAUUAGCUUUGAGUCCUGUCAUUUAAACUGUUAUCCCCAAAAGAGGGUAAUAAACACUGUUACAAAUAUGUGCAUUAAUGGAGUCAUACAUUAGGUACAUGCGAUCAUCAGUGGGUGUGCAAAAACCAAAAUAUAUACAAGAUAUGAUUAAUAACUUUGCUUGCCACAGUUAACCGUACUACUUAUUCUGGUUAGCAUGCUUUCUCAUAGUAUAGUUAUUUCAAGUCACGUUGUUUUGGGAUGUCAGGUAGUCAGCAAUUAAUGAUAGCUGAUUUUCACAUUGUAAUUAUACACUUUUGGGUUUACCAUUUCAUUUCGGUGAGCAGCUGUAGCCUCUGCAGUCAUCCUGUCUUCAGUACUGAGGACUUGAAUCUGUAUUCAUUGUAUGUUAUAAAUACUGUACUGCCCUUUCUGCAAAUAUUGUAUGUAAAAAGUUAACUGUUGCUGUUUAUUGUUUAUACAUGCACCUAUUUUCUUCUAUGUACUUCCUGUAAUAUUCUUAUGUGCUCACUCAUUUCUGUGUAUGUAGAAUUAUGCUUGUAUUGUACAUGUUUUCUUAGCAAAUCUUGUAUGUCUGAAGGUUUUGUCCCCUGGGUCUGCACUGUAAAUGUGUUUUUGUCCUUUUGAACGUUCGAGUUUCAAUAAAUAAAUAGGCUACUGAUACAAAUUACAGGGAAGCUUGGCUCUGCCAUGAUAUUGGGACUGAGUUAGUACAUUCUUUAUGCUAUUUGCAGGAAUUAAUACUUCAGAGUACGAUACAGUAAAUGUUUAUCCUGGCAUUAUUCAAAAGGUUGUACAUUCACUGCACUAUGCCUUAGUCAUGUCAACAGAAUACUUCCUGUGGUCUGUACCAGUGGUGACUCCAGCAGUCAAACAGACAAGGGAUCUAAUGUUGACUAAAGGAUAAGAGGCAGCUCAUAUCUGCAGAAUUUGCCUGGCUUUUACCCCCUGCCAUGUCACCUACCAGUACUGGGUGACAUGACUGAUGGCCUCUUUUGCCGUAAAAUUAGGAAGGACAUCUGAACCCAUUCUUGUAUGAGUACUUGGCAAAAGCUGCUGCAUUGGAAACUUUAACAGCUUUUCAUUGUGGAAGAGAGCCUAGAAGACUAGUUUGUUUACCCAUUUAAAUAUACAAAUUAAAUUAACAUAAAAAAAAAUGGUUUAUUCUAGACCAGUACUAAGAGCUGUAGUAGUGUUACUGUACUAAUGAUGCUUCACCAUAGGAGUGCCACCUAUGAAAGAGAGUAUGACAAACCUCCCAGGGUGACUCUGCAAAAAUUACAGUCUCAUGAGGUCAUUGUGUUAAAUCUGGGCUUUUUAAUCCUUGGUGAACUCCAACAUCUGUCUUACAGAAUUGUUAUACCUUAAGUUAGGCAAGAUUCCAUGGGUGAAUUCACACCAGAAUGUAAAAAAAUGUAUGUUGAAGGGUUUUAAAUGCAAUGCGUUAUUGUGCCAAGUGAUGUAACUUCAUCAUAGCAAGCUAGAACUGCACUACAACAUGUACCAAAAUAAAGGUGUACAUCAUA